ACGUAGGGGGCGAGCGUUAUCCGGAAUUACUGGGCGUAAAGAGUGCGUAGGUGGCCAUUCAAGCGCAGGGUUUAAGGCAACGGCCUAACCGUUGUCAGCCUUGCGAACUGGAAGGCUUGAGUGCAGGAGAGGAAGGUGGAAUUCCUAGUGUAGCGGUGAAAUGCGUAGAUAUUAGGAGGAAGACCAGUGGCGAAGGCGACUUUCUGGACUGUAACUGACACUGAGGCACGAAAGCGUGGGGAGCAAACAG
rnacentral:rRNA from 1 species